rnacentral:rRNA from 1 species
GACGAACGCUGGCGGCGUGCUUAACACAUGCAAGUCGAACGAAGAGCGAUGGAAGCUUGCUUCUAUCAAUCUUAGUGGCGAACGGGUGAGUAACGCGUAAUCAACCUGCCCUUCAGAGGGGGACAACAGUUGGAAACGACUGCUAAUACCGCAUACGAUCUAAUCUCGGCAUCGAGGAAAGAUGAAAGGUGGCCUCUAUUUAUAAGCUAUCACUGAAGGAGGGGAUUGCGUCUGAUUAGCUAGUUGGAGGGGUAACGGCCCACCAAGGCGAGGAUCAGUAGCCGGUCUGAGAGGAUGGACGGCCACAUUGGGACUGAGACACGGCCCAGACUCCUACGGGAGGCAGCAGUGGGGAAUCUUCCGCAAUGGACGAAAGUCUGACGGAGCAACGCCGCGUGGGUGAUGACGGCCUUCGGGUUGUAAAGCUCUGUUAAUCGGGACGAAAGGCCUUCUUGCGAACAGUUAGAAGGAUUGACGGUACCGGAAUAGAAAGCCACGGCUAACUACGUG